rnacentral:lncRNA from 1 species
ACAAAACAAACUCAAUUAGCAGAUGAAACAUAAACAAUAUCAGAUCAGAUAGACAAGAGCUCCCCCUGAGAUAGGCUAGGGAGUUCAGAAGUCCUUACCAGAGCUUCCAAGCAAUGAGGUUUUUUUUUUAUACCUUCUGCAAUUUCUUAAGUCUAGUGUUAGAUAAAUUUAUUUUUAAGAAAAAUAUGUUGCAGAGUGCUUAAGGUAUUUAGACAGUAUUUUCAUC